GUGUGACAGGUCUGUGGUCGUGGUAAAGGGGUGUUUGUGACAGGGUCCCUGGGGUCGUGACAGGUCUGGUGGCGUGGUGAAAAGGGUUCUGGUGACAGGUCGGGUGUCGUGGUGACCAGGUAUGGUGUCGUGGUAAAGGGGGUGUGUGACAGGUCUGGUGGCGUGGUAAAGGGUCGUGUGACAGGUCUGGUGUCGUGUGACAGGUCUGGUGUCGUGAGACUGGUCUGGUGUCGUGUGACAGGUCUGGUUGUCGUGAGACUGGUCUGGUGUCGUGUGACAGGGUCCUGGUGUCGUGUAGACAGGUCUGGGUGUCGCGUGAGACUGGUCCUGCUUAGCGUGUGACAGGUCUGUGGUGUGGUAAAGAGGGUGUGUGAACAGGUCCUGGUGGUUGUGUUGACAGGUCCUGGUGGCGUGGUAAAAGGGUGUGUGACAGGUCUGGUGUCGUAGUGACAGGUUCUUGUGUCGUGGUGACAGGUUCGGGUGUCCGUGGUAAAAGGGGUGUGUGACAGUCGGU
rnacentral:lncRNA from 1 species